rnacentral:rRNA from 1 species
AUUGAACGCUGGCGGCAGGCCUAACACAUGCAAGUCGAGCGGCAGCGGGAAAGUAGCUUGCUACUUUUGCCGGCGAGCGGCGGACGGGUGAGUAAUGCCUGGGAAAUUGCCCAGUCGAGGGGGAUAACAGUUGGAAACGACUGCUAAUACCGCAUACGCCCUACGGGGGAAAGCAGGGGACCUUCGGGCCUUGCGCGAUUGGAUAUGCCCAGGUGGGAUUAGCUAGUUGGUGAGGUAAUGGCUCACCAAGGCGACGAUCCCUAGCUGGUCUGAGAGGAUGAUCAGCCACACUGGAACUGAGACACGGUCCAGACUCCUACGGGAGGCAGCAGUGGGGAAUAUUGCACAAGGGGGGAAACCCUGAUGCAGCCAUGCCUCGUGUGUGAAGAAGGCCUUCGGGUUGUAAAGCACUUUCAGCGAGGAGGAAAGGUUGAUGCCUAAUACGUAUCAACUGUGACGUUACUCGCAGAAGAAGCACCGGCUAACUCCGUGCCAGCAGCCGCAGUAAAAC